UACAGAGGGUGCGAGCGUUAAUCGGAAUUACUGGGCGUAAAGCGUGCGUAGACGGUAGCGUAAGUCAGAUGUGAAAGCCCCGGGCUCAACCUGGGAACUGCAUUUGAGACUGCUCUGCUCGGGUGCGGAAGAGGGAAGCGGAAUUUCCGGUGUAGCGGUGAAAUGCGUAGAGAUCGGGAGGAAGGCCGGUGGCGAAGGCGGCGCUCUGGAACGUUUCUGACACUGAGGCUCGAAAGCGUGGGGAGCAAACAGG
rnacentral:rRNA from 1 species